CCCUGCUCAGUGACUCAUGCCAGCCCUGCUGAGGAGCCCGAGGCAUUUGCCUAGGGAAAUCUCCGAGAGCUGAGGAGGACCCUGGGCCAGCCUCACAAGCAGGAGAGGGAGGGCAAGGAUGCCAACUCUGGCCCUGAGCCUCUUCUCUGAGGCUGGGCAGGCUCCAACCAGGGCAAGACCACACCUUCUGCCACGCCUCCUGGACAGCAAGGCUGGUCACUCUUCGGCCACCAGCCCUGGGGGCAUCAGCCAGCCUGGUCUCCAUCCAUGAGAGUGUACAAGUGUCCCCCUACUCCACCGCCUACUAAAGUGCAAGUGAGGAAGGACACAGCUGUCAUACCACCUGACACUGAGACAAAAGGCAGGCAGGGUCCAGCACACCCAGCUGGAAGUGGGGAGCCAGCCAAAGGCACACCAAGAACUCAGAAGCACCCUGAAGCGGGCGGGGCUGAGCCUCACUCUGAAGAUAAGGAAACUGAGGCCAAACCUCGAAGCCACCCAGCAGGGACAGGACAAGGGCUUUACAUCCCCAGGGACUGGGGUUAGGAUUAGGGCUACAACUGACUCCAAUGAAUUAGCUUUAAUUAGCCCGGCUGAGGAACACACGAGGGAGGAGCGGUGGGGAUUUUCCUCUUCCCUCCUAGUCUGGCUAUUUAUUCACAGCUGAACUGGGGGGUGGGGUAGUUUUAUAAAAGAACAUCCAAAUGGAGUGGUUUGGUUUUUUUUUGUUUGUUUGUUUUUCCCCUAAAUUUAGCCAGUCACACCUAGCAUGGUGGCCUGUGCCUGUACCUCAGACACUCAGGAGGCUAAAGCAGGAAGACCAUGAAUUUGAGACCAGCCUGGGGCACAUAGCAAGACUACACCUCAAAAUGAAAAGACAUAGACAAAUGGCUGGGCAGUUGUGGAGCUUGACUGCAAUGACUGAGGCCCUGGAUUCCAUUUACAGUCUCCCCAGAAAGGAAGGGAGGGAAGGGCUGACCUUGGCCCUGGCCCCACCCUAAGAGAAGGUCCCCCGGGGUGGGGGGUGUAGCUCAUUGGUAGUGCCUGCCUGGUGUGCACGAUGCCCUGGUCCCUUCCCCAGUGGCAUGCAAACACGGUGUGACAGGGUUGUCAUCCCAGCACCCCAGUGCUAGAGGCAGGAGGAUCCGGAGUUCAAUACCAUUCAGGGCUACACAGGGAAUCUGAGGCCAGGUAACCUGUCUCAAAACAAACGAAAGGAGAAGGUCCCGCUCUGGUCUGGUGCUGCGCUGUCCCCAGCCGAGGACACUAGUAAUGGCUGGAUAGAGAAGGCCAGGAUCCAUGGCUCUCAAAGGCUGCUUUGUCCCGUGGAUAAAAAGCUCUGGUCAGCCCGUGAGGCUCCAAGCUUUCACUCUUGGGUCUCCAGGGAGCCACCUCCCCUUUAGGCAAGGAUCUCAAAUACCUGGCUGUCACCCACCUAGGCUAUGCCUUGUCAUCUACAGAAUGAAGGCUGGGCUCAGGGGAGGUGUGGCUCGGGCUGAGUAAAAGCCUAGUGUUCAGGAGGCCCUGAACCUUACAACCCAGCACAGCCAUACAAAGUAAGUGCAGGCCCCAGCCAGCCAGCCAGGCAGCCACUAAAACAACUGCCAUUUACAGCUGGUGACAGAGGAGGUGGCAGGGCCAGGCUGCCUAUGGGGGACACAACAUCACCUGUCCAGGCCUCAGAAGCAGUGGGUGGCAUUCUCAGCCAUGCCACCCCCGCAAACUAGGCACAGAAAACUUUACCUCUAUACCCAUCACCUCCAGCUGGUCAUGAUGCCAAGCUCAACCAACGCAGGUUUGUUUCCCCUCCCGGGUCUUCUGUUGUGCCCCUCAGGGUCACAGGACACACUGCCAUCAGCCAGGCACCAGGUGGCUGCCUCCUAGUGAAUGCCUGGCCAGUUUUGAUAUGACAUCAGAAAAUCACAGUAUCGAGUAUUGGGAUUGGUGGGGUCCGGCCAUCCCUCAGAGGAGCCCCUGAGACCCGCUUUCCUUCUCUCUCUGUCUCAGAGACCCCCGUCCAUGGACUCAGAAACAACCAACAGCCCGGAGCCAAAUGACACUUUUGGGUGGGGUUUAGCCUUUUAUCAUGACCACAGAACACCAGUCUAGAGUAAGGGUCACAUCCCUAGAAUUCCCCACCCACACCAUCCCGCAGCCUGUGACUCAGAUGGUGCCCAAGGCAGAGGAGGCAGUAAUGACCUCAGACACUGACAGUCCCAGCAGGAACAGGCAGCUUAACCUGGGAACAACUUGACUGGGAUGGCUAAGGAAAGGGAGACUUGUUCUCUCCCUUGAACUGUCUAUCCCCUGCUGGGUCUCCUCUGGAUCCAAGGGGACCGCAGGAGUACAUGGCCACAUAUACACUCACAGGCAUGCACUCGGGCCCUGUGAACACACACACACACACACACACACACACACACUCUCUCUCUCUCUCGAGGGUGCACAUGUGUGCUUACACCUCCUCCAAGCACUGGGAGCCACCACCUCUAUAAUCAACUUCCCAAGAGGCCCAGCAAGGCUAUUUCAGGAGAAGACCAAGGCCAGAUGAUGGGCAAACAAGCCAGGCCACCUUGGCCCUGGUGCAGAGCCUGUCCCCACCAUCCACCCUUCCUGAGUCUCUAAGUUCACAGUGGUCACAGACGUAAAAGCAGCCUGCCGGAAAAUGAAAGAGAAAUAGCACAGGAGGAGAAACCCAGUUUAAAUAAAAGCCAGACUCGGCAGGGCUUAGUGGAAAGCAGCAUUCCAGCUGGCACAACGUGGAACAGUCAGCAGAAAAAGGAAAUAGUUCUGUAAAAACACAGAACUCCACAACCAGCGCCACAUAAGCCAGGUUCUUUACCGCACACGAGUGAACCCAGCACUGGGAGGUGGAGGCAGGAGGAUCAGGAGUUCAACGUCAUUUUGGCUCAGGGACCAGGAAUCGGUGAGAAGAUGGAAGGAGGUGGGAGAGGACGGGUCCUAACAGCGUCUCCUGGACACAAGAGGACAAUGCACCCAUGAGCUUACAGCAGCUUCGAUUGCCUCCCCUUCUAGAAUCAAACCAACAUGUCCAGCACCGGGAGGGAGGGCGCCAUGAGCCUCCUACCCCGGAACUGAGGAACUGUGACAGGUGAUGGGUGGAGAGUCAGUUUUUCUAAAGGGCGUGGCUCCUGGUAGGCCAACAGUGUGCCAGUGGAUGGUGCCUCAAGCCGAGGUAGGUAGGUGGGCAGCAAAAACUGGAGUUGGUGGGUUAUUUAAUAAAAAAGAGAGUGAACCCAUUCAGUUGGGAGUGUGGGAGGCAGAGGAUAUGUCUGGGAGGAGCUAAGGGGAGGAGACGGUGGGGGGUGAAUAACGGUGUACAUGUUACAAAAAUCUCAAUAAGAAUUUGUGUUUCCCCAACAUAAUAUUUUUAUUAAUUUCUUGGCAAUUUCAUACUAUGCACUCCAGUCACAGUCACUUUCCAUUCCUCCCCAAUCCAUCCUCCCACCUUUGCCCCCCUCCCCCGCAAAAUAAAGUAAAAUACCAAGUCUAAUUUGUGUUGCCCAUACCCUCACCGAGCAUGGUCAAACUCCCAGGGGCAACCCUUACAGAAACCCGAGUCUU